ACCUUGUCCAUCAAUCGGCACAAUCUCUGAGCUGCGUUGCAUAUUCCAAAUGGCAUCAUUCUGAAUUGAUAGAGAGGUCUGCCGGGUAUGGUGAAUGCUGUGAAUUCACGGCUUUUGGGGUCAAGCUCUAUCUGCCAAAAUGCAUGCUUCAAAUCCACGAUGCUUAUAAAAAUGGUGUCGUCAACUCUGCUUAAUAUGGACUUUAUGUUCUGCAACCGGCUUCCUGACGAGCGACAUUCGAUUGUUCCACGGACUCUCACUCGCCUCGAUGACUCCCAGUCUGAGCAUUUCGUCCACUUCAGCAAACAAUGGCUGUUGUACAGCUGGAGAUACUGGGUAGAAUCGCUCCUUGACUGGCACUGCGUCAUCCACUAGUUGAAUGGUGUGUGUUUCUAUGUCGGUAUGCCCCAAUCCUCGAGAUUCGUAAUCCAAGAAACCUUCUCUUGCCUCUUUCAGCAGAUGUUGUUGCUCCUAAUUCAGUUCAUGGGCUAUUACGGUUCGCCUUUGGUCGUGAACUCCGAGUCGACAUACCCCAGCUCCAGCGAUCUCUCGCAGUCCCAGCUUGACCGUUGCAAAUGCCCGAUCGUCGCCUUUGACUGCCGAUUGAACCGCAGCGCAUACCAUUCUACGCUCCUGGUGCUGUUUGUAACGAGAGCGCGCUCGUUUUACCCUGGGUGUGUUCUCUGCGGCCGCUUCGAAAAUACGCGCUCGAGUUUUUGCAUUUUCUGCUUUUCUCACUUCAAGUGGCUUCCGUUCUGACCAUCUAACCGCAUUAUUUGAGAUAUUUAGUUUCCGUGCAGUGACGGCUUGGAGAGCGACUUCUCCGCUUGCGUCAUGAUCGGAAAACGGCGUAUUGACUCGCCUGGAUUCUGUUUCCUUUCGCGCAAUUCGUGCUCCAGCUCAAAACUUGAAGGCCUGGUCUGGAACUGUUGCUGUAAUGCGUACCUCAAAUUUGGCCAAUCGGUAAUCCCGGAUGUACGAAGAAGCAUCCAAUACCACUCCUUCGCCUGACCCUCCAUUAGGGCGUGGAAAUCGCGCAACACUUCUCUCCACGGAACCUGGUAAGUCAGUUGCAUAUGCUCCAGCCGAAAGAUGAAUUCCGAUACCGGCAUACUUCUUGUCCCGCCAUCGAACACCAGACCCCAUCUGCGAAUAUGCACCACUUCAGUCUUCGGCUCAUGGGCAGAAGUUCGGAUGAAACAAUCCUGUCCUCCGGCGUAUCGGAACUCGUGAGGAACGCCGUCUGUCCAGCUCACAGGAUUUGCUUGGCUCCUCUGAGCGGCUUCCAGCAAUCGAUGGUCGAUCGGCCUAACCGGAUGUGCAGACGGUCGACUAUCGUUGCUGCUACGACGGGAUUCCGGCUUGUUUCCUUGCUCCUGUGCGUGUGGCAUUCUUUGAGCUGCCAAUCCCUCACGUUGUCGUAUUCCAGUGCCAGCUCGCAUCUCCGCCAGGCUGUCGCUUAUCUGCUUCAUGAAUUGAAGCAUGUCUUCCUUCAUCUGCGCCUGUAAGGAUGCGAAUUCCGAGGCAAUGGUUUUGCGGUAUGUCUCUUGGGCCUGGAACAACUCCAAAUUUAUAGCUGAUUGUCUCCUGGCUAUGACAUAGAAUUGUAGAUAAAACAAAGGCUGGACAACGAUUGCAUGUGGCAUCUUUUAAGCCACCUGCCCGGACCACAGCUUAUGUUCUGGCAGAUAUGAACUGUAAAUUAAAAAAAUGUUUUC